AAACAAUCUAUUAACUCCAUAAUUAUGGUCCGAUAAUUUAGCACCAUAAAAAAUGGGACCAUGUGCUCGACGGUUACAUCAGAAUCAUUUAUAAAAAGAAGAUAAAUAAACAGCAUGGGUAAGAUAAUUCUGGACUAAUACCCUGCUAUUUCGAUCACUCUUUGUCUACUGUUUACCAACCCCCCACUGAUUUAAGCAUCGGAGGGUCUCCACUGGAUACAAUUUCGGUC
rnacentral:lncRNA from 1 species